GCCGAGUGUGUGUUUGCCGCCAAGUUGGGGGUAUUUCAAUAUCAAUAUAACAUCUGUUGAUGGCAAAAAAAAAUGAAAAUAAAUUAUACAACAAAAAAAUGCUAAGAAAUUGCGUUUUAAGAAUAAGAGGUAGCACACUCCAGGCUCAUGUAUUGGAAUCAUAAAGACCGAUCUAGAUUGCGUUUAUGGACUUUGAAUGCGCCAAAAAUCAUUCGCAGACGGUGUGGGUGGAAAGCACGCCAAGAUUUAUGGAUCCCAUCAAGGUGAUUACUAUAUAAUUCGGCUGAUGACAUUACUCAUCUAGGACGGAGACAAACAAACAGGCGGCGGUGGGUGACCUCUCCAGAUAAGAGAGUCGCUAUAGCUCCGCUUUCUGGACAUUCCUCAUUUAUAAUCAUAUUUAUAGCCACCGAUCGGCAAUCUCAUCGCAUCCAUUUGAUUUGACACUAUAAAUACGGACUAGAAGGUUUCCGUAUACAUCUACAUCAUACAGGGGGAGGUUUGUCCGGUUCACUUGGCAACAGCAGAAUCCAUCCAUUACCACCCACUAUACCAUCAAAUAUCACAUCUUGGAUGAAUGAAUUUCGAAUAAAAAAAGUGCCAAGUAAGGGACGUAAUUUAUGUUUUCAGAUUCGUGUCGAUCUGAUUACCGAAAUCACUUGUCUGGUGAAAUACUAUACGUAAAGUAACAUGCUUUCCUGGCUGUUCGAUUGGACUAAUUAAUU